rnacentral:rRNA from 1 species
CCUACGGGUGGCUGCAGUGAGGAAUAUUGGUCAAUGGGCGGAAGCCUGAACCAGCCAAGUAGCGUGCAGGAUGACGGCCCUACGGGUUGUAAACUGCUUUUAUACGGGAAUAACGCGCCUUACGUGUAGGGCUUUGCAUGUACCGUAUGAAUAAGGACCGGCUAAUUCCGUGCCAGCAGCCGCGGUAAUACGGAAGGUCCGGGCGUUAUCCGGAUUUAUUGGGUUUAAAGGGAGCGUAGGCCGCAUGUCAAGCGUGCUGUGAAAUGUCCGGGCUCAACCCGGGCCUUGCAGCGCGAACUGGCGUGCUUGAGUCCGCGGAAAGCAGGCGGAAUUCGUCGUGUAGCGGUGAAAUGCUUAGAUAUGACGAAGAACCCCGAUUGCGAAGGCAGCUUACUAAACUGCCACUGACAUUGAUGCUCGAAAGUGUGGGUAUCAAACAGGAUUAGAUACCCCAGUAGUC